GAUCGGGAGUGAGACUAAUAAAAUACUCGAAAGAGAAAUACGUCCGCUGACUUUGAGCAGUUUUGAGCUCCUGAUCGCCCACUC
rnacentral:ncRNA from 1 species